AUUUUUAUAGUGUAAUUUCCAACACAUUACAUUUUCAUUGUAAAGCUGAAGAUUUUUCUUCUAAAAAUA
rnacentral:tRNA from 1 species